rnacentral:rRNA from 1 species
GACGAACGCUGGCGGCGUGCUUAACACAUGCAAGUCGAACGGAAAGGCCCUGCUUUUGUGGGGUGCUCGAGUGGCGAACGGGUGAGUAACACGUGAGUAACCUGCCCUUGACUUUGGGAUAACUUCAGGAAACUGGGGCUAAUACCGGAUAGGAGCUCCUGCUGCAUGGUGGGGGUUGGAAAGUUUCGGCGGUUGGGGAUGGACUCGCGGCUUAUCAGCUUGUUGGUGGGGUAGUGGCUUACCAAGGCUUUGACGGGUAGCCGGCCUGAGAGGGUGACCGGCGACAUUGGGCCUGAGAUACGGCCCAGACCCGUACGGGAGGCAGCAGUGGGGAAUAUUGCACAAUGGGCGGAAGCCUGAUGCAGCAACGCCGCGUGCGGGAUGACGGCUUUCGGGUGGUAAACCGCUUUCGCCUGUGACGAAGCGUGAGUGACGGUAAUGGGUAAAGAAGCACCGGCUAACUACGUG